GUGUCAUGCAGAUAUUGGUUCGCCACAUCCUACAUUUCCCUUUUGAAAACAUUAUGUGAUUGUUGUGCACACUGAGCUCUAUUUCUUUUUUCAUGUAAUAUAUCCAGUAUGAAUCAUCAUUUGUAGUUUCCAAUACCAUAAUGGAAAGUUUCCAUUAUGGUAUAUUGAGUUAAUCUAAACGUUGUUGAGCAUCCAACUUAUUCCUUUAUGUAAAUUUGUACUUCUGAAUGUAAUUUUUAAUUGGCAGGAAAAACCUUUUAGGGUCUUUUUUAAUCAUCUAAAAUUUUCCUAGUGUAUCUCCUUAAUAAAAUAUUCGUGGGAUAAAGUUUCAUGAUUUCCAGGGGAUAUGUGAACUAGGUUUGCUUUGGUGAGUAGAGCAAUAAUGAAAUCACUUUUAUGUCACUGGAAUUCUCAAUAUAGGAAGUAAUUUUUUGACUAUUCUUCAUUUACAACAUUCCAUUUAUUUGAAACACAAAUGAAGUAAUUCAUCAAUAUGUCCUAUUUUUGCAACAAAACGAGUACUUUAGUGACCAUAUGAUAGUAACUAUGCAAACUUCACAUGGCAUAAAAAGUAACUCCCUACCAAUUUACAUGACAUAGGAAAUAACUUUUCAAUUAUAUGCAUCACACGAAAAAUAACUUGCCAUUAUCGACAUUAUAGAAUAUGUAACUAUGCUUUUUUUUUAAUCUAGUGUGCACUAUUUUUUUCCUGUUUAGCUAAUGCUGCACCUAGAAUAUUUUACAUAUGUGCUCAUUAUUUUGCAGUGAGAUGAAGGGUGAAUCUUAUCACUAUGAGUCUGAUCAGAACCUUUGCAGUAAUUGGGAAGAACAGCUGAGAAGUAAAAAUAGACAAGCUGAGGCCCAUGGCCACUAGGAUGAAGAGAGGAAAUGAAGGUGCUUCUUCUGUGUACAGGAAAGGAAAAGAGUCGGGAAGAAGCUACAGCUUGUUUUUAUUCCAUACCCAACUAUUUUAAAUUUCAGUACGAUUAGUGUUGUUGUUACCCAUCUUUUUCUGUUCGCUUUUUCUCUAACUACUUUCCUCAUGGCAACAAGCGUCCGUAAUGAUCUGUAAUGUAAAGUUUGUGCUUACUCAUGAAUGUUUGUAGGUGCAGCUAAUGCAGUGUCCAUGUCAAAAGUCUUAAUCACCCUCUCUUUGGUUCAGUGCAUACUGGGCAAGAGUUUCUUGACAAUUAGUGGUUGGUGAAUUCAUCAGACAGAGAUCAAAAUUUGAGGCCCAAGUGAAGUAACUUGCAUGUCUUAUUGAUAUAUCUGGAGACAAAUACUCAUGUACAUAGUGUGUUAUAUAAGUUGUGCCCGUAGUAUACAAAAUAUUCAUCCUCUAAUGGAUGAACUAGCUAAUUCCACUGAAUUUGUAUAACAACCGUUGAAUUUCUAUAAAAAUUAAAGCUUUUGUGUUGGUCCAAAAGAACCUGUAUGUUGGAUCUCGAAGGAAGGGAGAUCAAGGAAGGUUUUCCAUUCUUUUGGCA